rnacentral:tRNA from 1 species
GUAAGUAUAGUUCAGUGGUAGAGCGCACGCUUAGCAUGCAUGAGGUUCUGGAUUCAAUCCCCAGUGCCUCA